AUUCGGAAUUGAUCAGACAAAGAGAUGGUGAUGAUGGGAGUGAUUGCCGACCAGCUCACAAAUGUAUUUGUGAUUUUAUGAUGUUUGGCCAGUCAAGGUGAAGUAAACACAAUUGGCAAGAGGAUGGAAGGAUACAGCUAUAUUAAAAAAAAAAAAAAAAAAAAAAAAACACAAUCAUCCAUCGCUCCAGCAAGAAGCUUGAGGUGCUGAAGGACAGUGGGCAGACUAUGUGCAAGUGAAGUAGCCACAUUCCAACGGUGAAAUCGAUUUAUGAUAAGUGGCAAGGAAUAAGACUCAAUAGCCAUCCAUAAAAAUGAUUAGUGGGUGCCAGGAUGGAUUCCUAAGAGAGGCAACUCUGGAGACAAGGACUUCACAGGAUGUAGUCACCACGGAGAACAUGAGCUUCAGGACUGGUUGUAGUGACAGUAGAGUUGCCUCUGUGAGCUGUAGUGCUAUCCAUGCAGGCACUCAGAAGACCUGUCACAGCACAGGCUCUUGGCCUCUAAGCCUUGGGUUUCUGCUUCAGGAAGUUUGGAAAGACCCCAAAAUUUACCUGUCUAGUAAAUGUAUAGAUGAGAAUGAGAAAUUGUGAUUUGAAUAACAACUUGUGUCUGUAUGAUAUACAUAGUGAGGUAGACUGGGAAGUGGAAGUUAUGAAAUGGAGAGGCAUAUUGAAGAUGCAUUCACCAGUAAAUAAAGUAAUUUAUAACAAAGCUUUGAACCAGGAAGAUAAUCUUGGUACAUGGAGAAAUGAGGCUUCAGGGAGUGGGCUUUGUUCUCUGGUACAACUUUAAGCACCAAAUAAAUCUAAGUUGUCUGUCAGAUCUACUGCUCCCUUUCAAGUGUCAAGGUCAAAACACCUCCAGCAACAUAUGAGUCCAAGUUCGAAGUCUGUUCCUCAGUGUUUGAGGGUGUGUAGAAAGGCAUACUGCUUCCUACACUUCAGUUAUCUGACCCUCAAAGCCACCCUCCCCUCCUCCUACCUCUAGCAUUCAGAUUCUACUACCAACCUAAGGUCCAUUUUAAUGCAAGCGAUCUACAUAGAAGGAACUCUCCCAUAGCAAAUAUCAAUUUCCUACUCCCAAAUCUGGCUUUAUCAGAUAAGGUUGCCAACACUGGAAGGAGAGAUCUGAAACUUACUUUGGUUUGGAUAAGAAAAUCGAUGUGAAUUUGACUAACUGCAAAUAGUUAUGAAUAAAAUGGAAUGAUUAAGCCUCGUUAUUGUCUUCACCAGGAAAACAGAAACAAGAAUAAGAAAUGUUCAUAAGACUUAAACACAUCUGCAUACCUUAAACAAGUGUGAAUACCUUAAAAAGUCUACCUUAAGCAAGUCUUAGAUGAUACCCAAGUCUACUCUGGGAGAAACAAAAUAAACCUUGAAUUCGUUCUCCUUACUCUUAGUAAGACAUAGGCAAACAGACAGAGGUACAUGGUCUCAUAACAAAUAAUUUAAUUGUAAAUAUUAGAUCAUUCAGAUUGUGUGAGCUGGAAACCAAUUACUGGGUUUGAAGCAUAUGAGAUAUUGUUAAGCUAUCUUAAUUUUAAAGAAAUUACGUUCCUGAAAUUAUAUAUCUGCUUGAAACUAAUGUAUUAAUCUUUACCAUGACGUUUCUGUUUUCAAGUAUUAUUAUCCACAGAUUUAUGUUGUAUUUAUACCAUUUGUCCAUAAAAUAAUACUUAUAACAAG
rnacentral:lncRNA from 1 species